ensembl:lncRNA
GGCCUCCCCUUUUGACCUUGCCCACGUUCUUCCGCUUGGCGGCGCCUUGUUAGUUCUGCGUGCCUUACCUCCUCUAGGAAGAUAACUCACCCAGAAGCCUUGAACACCGCGUGUGAAGACACGAUGCUAUGAGCUGUGGCAGCCAUCUUAGAUCUAUGAGGAAGUAAGGCUGGACUCUUAAAGGAAAUACAUGGAAGAUGGCAACGUAAAGAGAGAGAGUCCUUAACUCUACCCAGUACUCUGUAAUCAUCUAUAAGGGAAAAGAAUCUUUAAAAAAAAAAACAGUGGCUAUAUUCACACGUGUAACUGAUUGCCUUAGCUGUGCACCUGAGCAGAGUGUCCAAAUGUUAACCUGAAAUCAUUGCACCCACUUGGGACCAAUUGUCUCCUUGAAGCCCCUGCUUCCACCUGGACUGGUGUAACGAUGACAGGGACACUGGAUGAGAAAGUGCUGCGCCCCCUUUCCUCCUGGUUACCAAGUUGCUGCCAGUCUCUGUUGAUCACUACACUUCCUCCAGCUUCUAAAAGCAGACUUAGAAGAACAUGGGAG